GUAGAGAUGGCUGUUAUGGCCUUAAGGAAGAGAUCAUGGCAGCAUGUUUUGGGGAACUUUAGUGGGUUCGUUACGCACGCGAAUUUUCACAGCUCGAAGGUGGACUUAAGGAAGCUCAGGCCGAUGAUUCUGAAGAGAAUCGAAAGCCGGGCCAAGGACUACCCGGUGCGCCGCAUGGUCCCGGUGGCCCAGGAGGUCCUUGAGGCCCGAGCAAUCUUCUUCCAAGGCGUGUCCGCUCUGCUCAGACUCUUUCCCAUCAUGGCCUGCAAGUUCUGUCCAGAAGUAUAUAUUGGUGAGAAAGGUCACUUAAUCCAGACAUGCUGUGGUUACAAGCGCCGUGCCAAGAAUCGAGUUCAUGAAUGGAUCAGCGGUGGUUUGAAUGAUAUACUUGUUCCAGUAGAAGCAUUUCAUCUGCAGGGCAUGUUCCAAGAUGUUAUUAAACACGACCAAAGGUUCGAUUUUGACCGUGUUCCCGCAGUUCUUGAACUGUGCUGGCAGGCAGGAGUUGAUCCAUAUGAUGAAAAAAAGUACUCCAGCAGUUGGAACUUGGAAAAUGUCUCUGCUGGCAGUGAAGGAGUCAACUCGUUGUCACCACAUGAACUGACGUUAAUUGCCAAUACCACUUUGAAGGCGUGGGAGACGCUCAGAACUGGCGUACAGAAGUUGUUGUUGGUUUAUCCAGUGAAAGUCUGUAAACACUGUUCCGAAGUUCAUGUUGGGCCAUCUGGGCACAAAGCUAGACUCUGUGGUGUAUUUAAGUAUGAGAGUUGGAGAGGAGCCCACUUCUGGAAGAAGGCAGAAGUUGAUGAUUUGGUGCCUCCUAAGAUUGUAUGGCGGCGGCGGCCUCAGGAUCCUCUUGUGCUUGUUGAUGCACAUCGGAAUUUUUAUGGACAUGCACCAGCAGUGGUGGAUCUGUGCACACAAGCUGGGGUUAUUGCUCCAGCUAAGUAUCAUUGUAUGAUGAAAGUGCAAGGUUUACCAGCACCUGCUCAAUUCAAUGUUUGAAGCUCGCUGUAAGUUGAAUUCUAAUGGCUUAGCUUCAAGGGACUUGAUGUGAUACUUUUCAGGGUGUCGAGCUCUUCCAACCCUUCCAGCCCCUCUCAUCGGGCCAUAGUUUUUUCUGGUUGUUUGUUCAUGAGAUCUACGUGCUGGAUUUUGACACUGAACUUUUUCCCUACUACGUCUCUACUGGAUCUGUUUCAGGAAUAUCCCUAAAAACGAAAAGAACUUUUGGUCUCUCCAGCUAUUUCAGAUUAAGAAGAUGUGAAUACAUUUCUCUCAAGAAGAAAAAGAAUGAGUGGAAAAUGGGCAAAGGCAAAUUGAGCCAAUCAUGUCUUUGAAGAUGAGGGUGGUGGUGGAGAACUUGACAGGAACUCUCUUCUACAUCCAGGUGGGAAAUGAUGCCACACUAGCUGAUCUAAAGAGGGAAAUCGAGGCCUAGCAGAAGCUCCCUAGUGACCGUCUGAUCCUCAUCCUUAACAAGGAUCGUCUUAGCAUUUUGACGACUGAUGAUGGGGAUGGGGUUUCACUGAUGGAUUGUGGGGUGCAAGAUGGGUCCCAUAUUUACCUAUUUUUCAAUCCCCUUGAUGAUGGGUCCUCCCAUCAUUUCGUCUUCACUUCGCCUAAUUUUGUCUCGGGGUAGACCUACUUCCCUUGCCAAACAAAAUGGAAGAAUGAACUGGAAAUUGCCUAA